CCAGAUCUCCGGCCUAUCAGCUUGUUGGUGGGGUAAUGGCCUACCAAGGCAUCGACGGGUAGCUGGUCUGAGAGGAUGAUCAGCCACACUGGGACUGAGACACGGCCCAGACUCCUACGGGAGGCAGCAGUGGGGAAUCUUGCACAAUGGGCGAAAGCCUGAUGCAGCAACGCCGCGUGCGGGAAGAAGGCCCUCGGGUUGUAAACCGCUUUCAGAAGGAACGAAACUGACGGUACUUUCAGAAGAAGGUGCGGCCAACUACGUGCCAGCAGCCGCGGUGACACGUAGGCACCAAGCGUUGUCCGGAUUUAUUGGGCGUAAAGAGCUCGUAGGCGGUUCAGUAAGUCGGGUGUGAAAACUUUGGGCUUAACCCAAAGCGUGCAUCCGAUACUGCUGUGACUUGAGUACGGUAGGGGAGCGGGGAAUUCCUAGUGUAGCGGUGAAAUGCGCAGAUAUUAGGAGGAACACCGGUGGCGAAGGCGCCGCUCUGGGCCGAAACUGACGCUGAGGAGCGAAAGCAUGGGUAGCAAACAGGAUUAGAUACCCUGGUAGUCCAUGCCGUAAACGUUGGGCACUAGGUGUGGGUUUCCUUCCUUGGGAUCCGUGCCGUAGCUAACGCAUUAAGUACCCCGCCUGGGGAGUACGGAAGCUUGGAAUUCGCC
rnacentral:rRNA from 1 species